CCCAGACAGCAGAGCCCGCGCUCGCCUCCCUUCCGCCAAGAUUCACAGAACACGGCAGAGUGGCCUCGGGAUCACCUGCCCAAGACACCUGCACGACCGGAAGUUGGGAGAAGAAAUUAAGGCCAUGAUGAUGAACGCAGCCUUUCUCGUUUAUUUCCAAUCCCACAACAAACCGGAGUCCAGGAACUCAUGGGAGGCCGAGGUGGGCGGAUUGCCUGAGUUCAGGAGUUCGAGACCAGCCUGGGCGACACGGUGAAACCCCGUCCCUACUAAAAUACAAAAAAUUAGCCGGGCGUGGCGGCACGCGCCUGUAGUCCCAGCUACUCAGGAGGCUGAGGCAGGAGAAUGGCUUGAACUCGGGUGGGGGAGGUUGCAAUGAGCCGAGAUCGCGCCGCUGCACUCCAGCCUGGGCGACAGAGCGAGACUCUGUCUCUGAAAAAAAACAAAACAAAACGAGAAGGCUUUCAAAAUUACUCUGCGGUACACUAAUUUAACAGAUUAGAUCACUUUCCAGGCUUUAAGUUGGCCUUUGUUCUACCCUUUUUUUAGUGUAUGAUAAAAGUUGUGUUGGUUCGUUGAUCAGCAUGCAAUGAACUCUGGCUCUUGUUAAUCAGGUGACUACAGUUUUGUCCUUACAUUUGUAUGUAUGUCAUGAGUGGUUUUGUAUGGGCAGGAGGUAAACAACGCACAUUUAAAUAUACUUAAUGAUUUAUCAUUCCAAUGUUUUCUGGUUGUUUUAGUCUUUCAUUUGUCUCUUGAACAAUCUGAAACAUCCCUAUUCUAAGGCUAAAAAAUUUCCUUUACAAACUUAGGUUAAACAUUCCUAAUCUGAAAUCCAAAAUGCUCUAAAAUUCGAAUUUUUUUGAGUACUGACGUGACCCCACAAAUGGAAAAUUCCACACUUGCCCUCAUGUGACACUGGGUGACAGUCAAGUCACAAUCAAGCCUGGUGUGGUGGGCACCUGUAGUGCCAGCUACUCGGGAGGUUGAGCAGGAGGAUUGCUUGAGCCCAGGAGUUUGAGUCCAGCCUGGACGAUAUAGCCAGACCCUGUCUGUAAAAAAACAAAAACCAAAACAAAAAAAACAAUGAAAACAUUUUUUUUUAAAACGCCAUCAAAACUUUGUUUCAUGCACAAAAUUAUUUAAAAUAUAUAAUAUAACCUUACCUUCAGGCUAUGUGGGUAAGGUAAGGUGUAUGUGAAACAAAUGAAUUUCCCAUUUAGACUUGGGUCCCAUCCCCAAGAUAUCUUAUUAUGUAUAUGCAAAUAUUCCAAAUCAAAAAUAUCUGAAAUACUUUUGUCCCAAGCAUUUCAGAUAAAGGUUACUCAACCUGUAAUAAAAACACUCAGUGCUUGCCUGAAGGAAAAACCAAGAAUUUGUCAUCCAUCCUUAAAUUUUUAUGACACCCUUUGUAAUCAGGAAACCUUUUAAUACCUAAGAAUAUAUUUGAUAUAUUCUGGUAUAUGUUUAUCAUUCUGAUGUUUAAUGUUCUAUGUUGGGCAUAUAUCAGUGUAAUAA
rnacentral:lncRNA from 10 species